rnacentral:rRNA from 1 species
UAGUCGAUGGAAAACAGGUUAAUAUUCCUGUACUUCUGGUUAUUGCGAUGGAGGGACGGAGAAGGCUAGGCAAGCUUGGCGUUGGUUGUCCAAGUUUAAUGUGGUAGGCUGGAAUCUUAGGUAAAUCCGGGAUUCUAAGGCCGAGAGCUGAUGACGAGUUAACUUUUAGUUAACGAAGUGGUUGAUGCCAUGCUUCCAAGAAAAGCUUCUAAGCUUCAGGUAACCAGGAACCGUACCCCAAACCGACACAGGUGGUUGGGUAG